CGACCCUUGGCCCUUUUAUAGGUGGCUGGCCAGACCACCUUCGGCAGCCGAACGUGAAGCCGCAACCAUGCAAUGUUCGGCGGCCGAAAGUGACCUUCGGCGGCCGAACCUUUGCAUUUCUCCCUUGUUGCUUUUCUUUCAAAACUCAAGUCUUUUAACACUUCAAAACAUGAAAACAAGUGAAAAUACCUUGGAAAACAUAUGCAUUACCCUUCUCGAGGGUUCCGACACCCGAGAUUCCACCGGACGACAGGAAUGCCGAUGCCGGACUCGAGCCGGGUAUUACAUUCUCCCCCCCUUAAGAACAUUCGUCCCCGAAUGUCCCUAACACAACAUAAACACAUAGAAAAGGGGAAAAACUAACCUCAAAACAAAUAUGGGUAUUGCUGGAGCAUGGACUCCCGAGUCUCCCAAGUGCACUCUUCUAGGUUGUGGUGGUUCCACAGCACUUUCACCAUUGGUAUAUCCU
rnacentral:lncRNA from 1 species